UUAUUUUGAUUUUUAAUGUAGUGAGCUGCUUUAGACUGAGGAGUGAACUUCUGUUGGCAGUGAAAUAACAGAAUUUUGAGACCAAAUAAUAUCAACAUGUAGUGAACCAUGGAAGAACAUUCCUUGUGGAUAUUCAGAAAAAAAUGUUUGGUGCUACUUGAGGCAAGAACAUACCUCUCAUGCUGAUCUAACGAUAGACUAAAUCUAAUCACACCAAAGCAGGAAAAAGAUCGGAUGUGGACUUCCGCAUGACUCCCGUCACUACGAGGAGGCUUCGCGGCACAUGAUCACUUUUGAGAGAUGGACGUGCGCUGUCACGGGCUUUUGAAAUAUUUUGCUGGAAUUAUGGAAACAAAAUGCAUGUUAUAUUUCACAUGUAGAAAAAAAGAUAGCACGGGCAUAAUCGAGUAAUAAUUUAAGUCCACUUCACUUACAUUGUAAAUUGUUAACAAAAGGCAAUUUGACAAUGCAUACAUAUAGAGCGAUGAUCCAACUAAAAAUCUAUUACAAAUUAAUAUCUAUUUGAUGCGUUUAAGAAAUUCUCGCACAAUAUUAGCAAUGUUGUCUUUAGUUUCAUUUGCACAAUAUUUGAGCAAGUAUAAUAAAAAUGUCUUCCUCACCGGCCUUCGGGUCCGUCCACUUUCAUGCCAACCACGGUGGCCAACCUUGACCCAGGCUUCGACUUCUUUGCUUGCGCGAUGGCGGACGCCUCGCUUACUCGAAAACACCAUGAUGGACACCAUCCACCCUACCUUGCCUACCGGCAGCACUUUUCUUCCGGCACGGGCUCGCCGACCACCUCUCUCUCAGGAUCCUCUCCACAACUACACGGUGGCCGGAGCCAACCGUCCGCCAUGACUGCUCCACCACCACCCCGAGGCUCGACAUGAGUCAACUUUAAUCGUGUCAAACAUACAUUGUUUGGAUCCUCAUGCACAUUAAGCAACAUUCUUGAUUUUUUCUGCCUAUAAACCACUAUUAUUCUUCGUCUUUGUUCUCCUGCUCCUCUUCACUUACUAUCUCUACCGUCCCUAUCCAAGCCAGCCGCAAUCAUCAAUGUCCCAUCCGGCUCAAAAUCCCCAAACCUUCUACACCCAUACUAUGAAUUUUAAGGGACCUUUUGCCAUUAUUUUAUCCUUCAAAGUCUACAAACUAUAAUAUCAAUGUAGAAGUAAUUAGUGUAAACUCCUUUAUGCCCGCUCAUGGCCACUACGACCACAACUCUGUCGUCUCACCUACAUGAUGUGUGUCCACUCCCACAAUUUCCCCCUUACUCUGGCGAGGCCUCCAUUACUUUUGAAUAUUUUGUUCGGAUUAUUUGCCAUCAAGGAGAAAUUAGCAUAUUGCGCAUGAACAUAUGUGAUAAAAGUUCCUGCGAUUUGACACUACAGAGGUAGAGCAACAUGAAAAUAAAAGAGCAUGCUUCUAAUCUUCAAACUUCUUAGUUUAAAAAAAUGGCGAUAACCUUACAACAUUUUCCAGACUCUUGUCCAUACUGAAAAUGGUUCAUGCAUUAAGGAACACCACACAAAGUAUGGAAUCCAAAAAAACUAACAACAAGCGACAGUGACAUGGAUGGCUACCUUAUUGCUUUGGAAGUGGAUGGCAUGAGCCGUCGCUUAGAUGCACGAAACAGUCCCGACCAUGUACAGCUAGCCAAGAAACGUUGGGUCAAAACAAGGAGUUGGUACCUUGAGCAACGACGCCAUCGCGUUGACAUUUGCCCAACCCAACUGCUCAUGGCCAUCCUCGGCCACCACCUAUCCACCUGGACACACUCCUCUAGACCCAGGCGUUCUGAACGGCAUCCUCCCUGCUUCCCCAGCAUGAUGGCCGACUACCGUAACUUCUCUAGAGUGAAUCCUUCCAAAGGCGCUGCCGACAACAUCAUCCCUGUGGUGAUGCGUCUUCCUUCUUGUGCCUUUUGCUCCAUUGACCUCCUUCCUAUGAAAUUUCGGUAACAAGGUACAUUUCAGUAAUCAGUAAAAAAAUGCAGAUUUUAGUACAAGAGAAAUGAGCGUCUUGACAAAGGUUUAGUAGAAAUCAGAUUUCCGUACAACAAGAUAUUUUAGUACCUACUAAAAAGAAUAGUACAAGGGCAAUCAUCCGAACAAUAUCAUCAUAAGUAUGAACUAAACCUUUAGUCGCAGCAGGUACCUACUAAAUAGGAAGUGGAUGAUAUUCAUAUUACCCAUGUCAUCUCAAUAUCAUCAUAUGUUUAUUGUAGAAAAUCAUAAGCAUCAACACCACUACCUGGAAGACAUAUCUCCUAGCUUCUUUAUGAUUCAGAAUUCAACCCCAUGGAAGCUAAUAUGAAUAUCAUCUCAAGGAUCUAGAUAAAAUACCUGGAACAAAACUCAAUGAAGAACCAUAACAUCGAUCGAAACUAAACAUGAAAAUUUUGAACUCGCUGACUUUAUAUCAGUCUAGUAGUAAUAGUAGUACAAUCGCUGGUAGAAAAUGCAAUUCUCAACGUGCAUAUAGAUAUGCUAUUAUCUUGCUGCUAGAAAAUGUAGCGCUCAAGGUACAUAUAGAUAUGCCAUUGUCUUGCUGUGAAAUAGACUGCUUGGUUUGUUAGCUAGAUUAGGAAACCUAAGCUUUCCAACAAUUCCAAUCUGGAAGCACAAUCAGACCUCAUAGCCUUAAAGAUAAAUGAAAAGCAAUCAAACCAUUGGCGAGAACUUCUAAUUACGGCUCCGAGAGAACUCUAAUCCAUUUGUAAUUUGCCUAGAAAUAAAAUCAAUCAAACUGUAAUUUGCCUAGAAACAUGACCUCAAUGGCAUGCAUACCAUCACCUUUCAUAUCUUUUGUGGCAUUAAAUGAUUGUUGCAUUGUCUACGGAUGAGCCAAAAUUGCUAUGCCCCCAGUUCUACAAAUUAGAUGCACAAUAGAUUCCCCAUUCAGCCUAAUACCGCUGCAAAUGAACAAUAGAAAUCCACAUUAGUAAAUACAUCACGUCCCUGGUUAAGUAGUUAAUUUCAAGCCCAAAAAAUUAACACACUCCUGGCCAACAAUGUGCACGGUUAACCAUGAGCUACCGCAUCCUUGCCAAGUGUCCUCGUCCCACUCUUCCACUUGGCGUGAGGCCUCAACGGGAC
rnacentral:lncRNA from 1 species